rnacentral:lncRNA from 1 species
UCUCUUUCUCUUUUCUUUUUCCUUAUUCCAUUUUUGUCAGUAUUCCGAAUCAAAUGCCUAAAACGCAUUGGUUAGCCAUGAUAUAGUUUGACACACCCCAAACCAUUUGGUUUGGCGAACCCAGAUGGCAAGGAACGCUAGGGCUUAAAAAGGGCAAGUAUAUGAGGACCCAUGCGGUGUGUUUUUAAUCCCACAUUAGUUGUGUUGAAAAAAUUUUGGAUAUUUAUCCAAG